GACGAACGCUGGCGGCGUGCUUAACACAUGCAAGUGGAGCGACGAACCGGGGCUUGCCCCGGGGCAGAGCCGCGAACGGGUGAGUAACACGUGGGUAACCCACCCCGAUGACCGGGACAACCCGAACGGAAACGUACGGGCUAAUAACCGGAUGUGCUCCUUGACCUCGAGGUCAAGGCGUAAAGAUAGCUUCGGCCUUCGCAUCGGGACGGGCCCGCCGGCCA
rnacentral:rRNA from 1 species